rnacentral:misc_RNA from 1 species
CUUGGUCACGCGCUGGCCAGCGGGCUUCGAGACAUCGAGCACAUAGUCGACACCACUGACGACGUCGAAGUUGAAGCCGGGAACGUUCGGGUCAAUUGACACGGCACCAUCGUUCGCCGUGCGGUAGUACCGCGCGCUUUGCUCGAGGUAUUCGCGCAGUUGCUUGCCGGUUAUGCGAAUGACCCUGAGCGUAUUCUCAUACGGAUAGAGCGCCUGCAUGCGCGCGACGCUGAUGGCCCCCGAGUCGAUUGAC